GGACGGUGAAGAAUUGUAUCAAUGGUCUCGUUCGUCGUAAUUGGCUGAUAUAUUUUAUUAGCCUUGCCGACCAUCCUGAUAUAUCACCACCCAUAUUCUGAGUCC